UCACGUUUGGUUAGAAGGUGAUAACUUAGAGAAUUCUACCGAUUCCAGAUGUUACGGACCUGUACCAUAUGGACUCAUAAGAGGACGGAUCUUCUUUAAGGUAUGUUUUAUGCCUAAAACACCACCUUUAUUCUGAGCUGGUGGGGCUUGGGGGGAUCUUUCUAAAUAAACUUUGAAAUCUAUGAGCUUCCAAAUGAACUAUUACAGUGACUACAUCUGAUGAACAUCUGACCUUUACUCAAGAACAAUGGACAAAACAUUAUCCUCUCCCCUUCCUACUCCUAAGGGGGUAACUGAGAAUGCUUAUAAUGAAAUUCAAAGUAAAUCAGUAAUUGCCUAAAGAACCUUUGAGUUUACAGAAAUCAGACUCUGCCAGGUGAGACGUUUACAGCCAUAGUCACAUCCUGGCAUUUCAGCAAUCACUUCUACAACAGCAGCCCAGGCUCAGUCCACUUGGAAUGCAGGUGGACCCAGUUAAAUACAGCAAGCUGUAGGCAGGUGUGUCUGUAGAGAAUGUACAGCAAGCCUUAGACGACACUGGUUCUUAGAGACAUUGGUUCUUCCAUUAUUGUUUGAUAUAAUUUUGUUUUGAAACAGGGUUUCACUCUGUAUUCCAGACAGGUCUUAAAGUCUCCCUUCCUGUGUCUGUCUCGUAAGUGCUAAUAUCACAGAUGGUGGAUUAAAGGUAUUGCUCUCCCUUGAUCACAAGGCUUUAGAAGAAAAAUGCAUGAAUAU
rnacentral:lncRNA from 1 species